UAGACGGAGUCAAAAUUCUGUGACUUCCAGGCAGGUCACGAGAAGACAAUGACGGGUUUACUUCCGGUGCUCGCAGGGGCAAAUAUUAUCUAUGGCG
rnacentral:ncRNA from 1 species